rnacentral:rRNA from 1 species
UAAUACGUAGGGGGCAAGCGUUGUCCGGAAUUAUUGGGCGUAAAGCGCGCGCAGGCGGUUUCUUAAGUCUGGUGUCUAAGUGCGGGGCUCAACCCCGUGACGCACUGGAAACUGGGAGACUUGAGUGCAGAAGAGGAGAGCGGAAUUCCACGUGUAGCGGUGAAAUGCGUAGAGAUGUGGAGGAACACCAGUGGCGAAGGCGGCUCUCUGGACUGUAACUGACGCUGAGGCGCGAAAGCGUGGGGAGCAAACAGGAUUAGAUACCCUGGUAGUCCACGCCGUAAACGAUGAGUGCUAGGUGUUGGGGGGGUCCACCCCUCGGUGCCGAAGUCAACACAUUAAGCACUCCGCCUGGGGAGUACGGUCGCAAGACUGAA